rnacentral:rRNA from 1 species
GUCGAAUGACUUGGAAAAGUCAGUCAAAGAGGGUAAAAACCCCGUAGAUGAAAUUUGGAAGGCACCUAGGAGGAUCCUGAGUACGGCGGAACACGAGGAAUUCCGUCGGAAUCCGGGAGGACCAUCUCCCAAGGCUAAAUACUCCCUAGUGACCGAUAGUGAACCAGUACCGUGAGGGAAAGGUGAAAAGCACCCCGGAAGGGGAGUGAAAUAGAACCUGAAACCGUGUGCCUACAACAAGUCAAAGCCCGUUAAUGGGUGAUGGCGUGCCUUUUGUAGAAUGAACCGGCGAGUUACGAUUGCAUGCGAGGUUAAGUUGAAGAGACGGAGCCGCAGCGAAAGCGAGUCUGAAUAGGGCGUUUGAGUAUGUAGUCGUAGACCCGAAACCAUGUGAUCUACCCAUGUCCAGGUUGAAGGUGCGGUAAAACGCACUGGAGGACCGAACCCACGUACGUUGAAAAGUGCGGGGAUGAGGUGUGGGUAGCGGAGAAAUUCCAAACGAACUUGGAGAUAGCUGGUUCUCUCCGAAAUAGCUUUAGGGCUAGCCUCGGAAUUGAGAAUGAUGGAGGUAGAGCACUGUUUGGACUAGGGGCCCAUCUCGGGUUACCGAAUUCAGAUAAACUCCGAAUGCCAUUCAUUCAUAUCCGGGAGUCAGACUGUGAGUGAUAAGAUCCAUAGUCGAAAGGGAAACAGCCCAGACCACCAGCUAAGGUCCCAAAAUAUAUGUUAAGUGGAAAAGGAUGUGGGGUUGCACAGACAACUAGGAUGUUGGCUUAGAAGCAGCCACCAUUUAAAGAGUGCGUAAUAGCUCACUAGUCGAGUGACCCUGCGCCGAAAAUGUACCGGGGCUAAACAUAUUACCGAAGCUGUGGAGUACACCUUUAGGUGUAUUGGUAGGAGAGCGUUCUAAGGGCGUUGAAGGCAGAUCGUGAGGACUGCUGGAGCGCUUAGAAGUGAGAAUGCCGGUAUGAGUAGCGAAAGACAGGUGAGAAUCCUGUCCACCGAAUGACUAAGGUUUCCUGGGGAAGGCUCGUCCGCCCAGGGUUAGUCGGGACCUAAGCCGAGGCCGACAGGCGUAGGCGAUGGACAACAGGUUGAUAUUCCUGUACUCGUUGUUUUUGUUUGAGCAAUGGAGGGACGCAGGAGGCUAAGGAAUGCAGACGAUUGGAAAUGUCUGUCUAAGCAGUAAGUCU